rnacentral:rRNA from 1 species
GACGAACGCUGGCGGCGUGCUUAACACAUGCAAGUCGAACGGAAAGGCCCUGCUUGCAGGGUACUCGAGUGGCGAACGGGUGAGUAACACGUGGGUGAUCUGCCCUGCACUUCGGGAUAAGCCUGGUAAACUGGGUCUAAUACCGGAUAGGAGCCAUUUUUAGUGUGAUGGUUGGAAAGUUUUUUCGGUGUAGGAUGAGCUCGCGGCCUAUCAGCUUGUUGGUGGGGUAAUGGCCUACCAAGGCGGCGACGGGUAGCCGGCCUGAGAGGGUGGACGGCCACAUUGGGACUGAGAGACGGCACAGACGCCGACGGGAGGCAGCAGUGGGGAAUAUUGAACAAGGGGCGCAAGCCGGAUGCAGCGACGCCGCGUGGGGGAUGACGGCCUUAGGGUUGUAAAAUCCUUUCGCUAGGGACGAAGCUUUUUGUGACGGUACCUAGAUAAGAAGCACCGGCUAACUACGUG